GCCUAAUUAGCUCAGUUGGUAGAGCACUCGGCUGUUAACCGAUAGGUCGUAGGUUCGAGUCCUACAUUAGGCGCCA
rnacentral:tRNA from 2 species